rnacentral:rRNA from 1 species
UUGCACCUGGUGGCGAGUGGCGAACGGGUGAGUAAUACAUCGGAACAUGUCCUGUAGUGGGGGAUAGCCCGGCGAAAGCCGGAUUAAUACCGCAUACGAUCUACGGAUGAAAGCGGGGGACCUUCGGGCCUCGCGCUAUAGGGUUGGCCGAUGGCUGAUUAGCUAGUUGGUGGGGUAAAGGCCUACCAAGGCGACGAUCAGUAGCUGGUCUGAGAGGACGACCAGCCACACUGGGACUGAGACACGGCCCAGACUCCUACGGGAGGCAGCAGUGGGGAAUUUUGGACAAUGGGCGAAAGCCUGAUCCAGCAAUGCCGCGUGUGUGAAGAAGGCCUUCGGGUUGUAAAGCACUUUUGUCCGGAAAGAAAUCCUUGGCUCUAAUACAGCCGGGGGAUGACGGUACCGGAAGAAUAAGCACCGGCUAACUACGUGCCAGCAGCCGCGGUAAUACGUAGGGUGCAAGCGUUAAUCGGAAUUACUGGGCGUAAAGCGUGCGCAGGCGGUUUGCUAAGACCGAUGUGAAAUCCCCGGGCUCAACCUGGGAACUGCA